rnacentral:rRNA from 1 species
AUGGAGUCGUCCUUGGCGACGUUGAGGAGGAGGGAUCCAACGAAGGCAUCGCCGGCGCCGGUGGUGUCGACCGUGUUGACGGAGUACCCUGGCAGGGAGCCCUUGAAGUCCUUGGUGAAGUACCUGCACCCCUUCUCGCCGUCUGUGACGACGAGCAGCUUGAGGCCCUCGAACCAGAGGGAGAGGACGUUCUUCUCGUCGUGGGCGUCGCCCUGGGUGAGGAAGGCCACCUCCUCGUCGCUCACCUUGAUGAAGUCGGCCUCCUUCCAGAUGCUCAUGAUGCCGUCACGUGGGCGGAGCGGCAGGGCUCGGUGA